rnacentral:misc_RNA from 1 species
AAGUCGUAACAAGGUUUCCGUAGGUGAACCUGCGGAAGGAUCAUUAACACGUAUCCAAACGUUAAAAUCCCCCCCGUGAACAUUGAUUCCUGCUCUUGUAACCCGCGAAGCUUGCAAUCUCUGGUAAAUGAUAGCCCGGAAAGUAGUUUUGAUUCAGAGACCUCUGGCCCGGUAGUUCUAGAGGCCUUGUUUCCCCAAGCAGUCAGUGUCUGAAAGUGUCAGUGAUUGUGCAAGGGUAACGCUUCACGAUUCUUGUAGACCGCACCUCGCGGGCAGGAGCUAGGCCAAAGGUCCCCAUGCCCCCUUACAACCCCACAGUUAAAUGUGAAGCUCAAUGUAAUACAUGGGGUAAAAAACCGAACAACUGUUAACAAUGGAUAUCUUGGUUCUC